UACGGAGGGAGCUAGCGUUGUUCGGAAUUACUGGGCGUAAAGCGCGCGUAGGCGGCACAGCAAGUUGGAGGUGAAAUCCCGGGGCUCAACCCCGGAACUGCCUCCAAAACUGCUGAGCUAGAGACAUGGAGAGGUGAGUAGAAUUCCUAGUGUAGAGGUGAAAUUCGUAGAUAUUAGGAAGAAUACCAGUGGCGAAGGCGGCUCACUGGCCAUGUACUGACGCUGAGGUGCGAAAGCGUGGGGAGCGAACAGG
rnacentral:rRNA from 1 species